CAAAAACAUCGCCUCUUGAGACACAAAACAUAAGAGGUCCCGCCUGCCCAGUGACUUUAAGUUUAACGGCCGCGGUAUUUUGACCGUGCAAAGGUAGCGCAAUCACUUGUCCUUUAAAUGAAGACCUGUAUGAAUGGCACCACGAGGGCUCAACUGUCUCCUUUCUCCUGUCAAUGAAAUUGAUCUCCCCGUGCAGAAGCGGGGAUAAAACCAUAAGACGAGAAGACCCUAUGGAGCUUUAGGCACCAGAACAGACUAUGUUAAGCACCCUAAGCACAAAAGACAAAACUAACUAGACCCUAUUCCAAUGCCUUUGGUUGGGGCGACCGCGGGGAAAUAAAAAACCCCCAUGUGGACCAAGAGCACAUCACUCUUACAACCCAGGGCUACAACCCUAAGUAACAGAAUUUUCUGACCAGAAUGAUCCGGUAAGACCGAUCAACGAACCGAGUUACCCUAGGGAUAACAGCGCAAUCCCCUUCUAGAGUCCAUAUCGACAAGGGGGUUUACGACCUCGAUGUUGGAUCAGGACAUCCUACUGGUGCAGCCGCUAUUAAGGGUUCGUUUGUUCAACGAUUAAAGUCCUACGUGA
rnacentral:rRNA from 1 species